rnacentral:rRNA from 1 species
AUUGAACGCUAGCGGGAUGCUUUACACGUGCAAGUCGAACGGCAGCGCGGACUUCGGUCUGGCGGCGAGUGGCGAACGGGUGAGUAAUGUAUCGGAACGUGCCCAGUAGCGGGGGAUAACUACGCGAAAGCGUAGCUAAUACCGCAUACGCCCUACGGGGGAAAGCAGGGGAUCGUAAGACCUUGCACUAUUGGAGCGGCCGAUAUCGGAUUAGCUAGUUGGUGAGGUAACGGCUCACCAAGGCGACGAUCCGUAGCUGGUUUGAGAGGACGACCAGCCACACUGGGACUGAGACACGGCCCAGACUCCUACGGGAGGCAGCAGUGGGGAAUUUUGGACAAUGGGGGCAACCCUGAUCCAGCCAUCCCGCGUGUGCGAUGAAGGCCUUCGGGUUGUAAAGCACUUUUGGCAGGAAAGAAACGUCGCGGGCUAAUACCCCGUGGAACUGACGGUACCUGCAGAAUAAGCACCGGCUAACUACGUG